GAUGAACGCUGGCGGCGUGCCUAAUACAUGCAAGUCGAGCGAACGGACGAGAAGCUUGCUUCUCUGAUGUUAGCGGCGGACGGGUGAGUAACACGUGGAUAACCUACCUAUAAGACUGGGAUAACUUCGGGAAACCGGAGCUAAUACCGGAUAAUAUUUUGAACCGCAUGGUUCAAAAGUGAAAGACGGUCUUGCUGUCACUUAUAGAUGGAUCCGCGCUGCAUUAGCUAGUUGGUAAGGUAACGGCUUACCAAGGCAACGAUGCAUAGCCGACCUGAGAGAGUGAUCGGCCACACGGGAGCGGGGACACGGACCAGACUCCUACGGGAGGCAGCAGUAGGGAAUCGUCCGCAAUGGGCGAAAGCCUGACGGAGCAACGCCGCGUGAGUGAUGAAGGUCUUCGGAUCGUAAAACUCUGUUAUUAGGGAAGAACAUAUGUGUAAGUAACUGUGCACAUCUUGACGGUACCUAAUCAGAAAGCCACGGCUAACUACGUG
rnacentral:rRNA from 1 species